rnacentral:rRNA from 1 species
UACGUAGGGUGCAAGCGUUGUCCGGAAUUAUUGGGCGUAAAGAGCUCGUAGGCGGUUCGUCGCGUCGGCUGUGAAAACCUGAGGCUCAACCUCAGGCCUGCAGUCGAUACGGGCGGACUUGAGUACUGCAGGGGAGACUGGAAUUCCUGGUGUAGCGGUGAAAUGCGCAGAUAUCAGGAGGAACACCGGUGGCGAAGGCGGGUCUCUGGGCCGAAACUGACGCUGAGGAGCGAAAGCGUGGGGAGCAAACAGG